CCAGGACCGGUCGCAGAGAUGUGACCUUCUCUUCGGAGCCUGGAACACAGGUGCUGCAUGGCUGUCGUCAGCUCGUGUCGUGAGAUGUUGGGUUAAGUCCCGCAACGAGCGCAACCCCCGUCCUUAGUUGCUACCAUUUAGUUGAGCACUCUAAGGAGACUGCCGGUGAUAAGCCGCGAGGAAGGUGGGGAUGGCGUCAAGUCCUCAUGGCCCUUACGGGCUGGGCUACACACGUGCUACAAUGGCGGUGACAAUGGGA
rnacentral:rRNA from 1 species